rnacentral:rRNA from 1 species
AGAGUUUGAUCCUGGCUCAGAUUGAACGCUGGCGGCAUGCUUUACACAUGCAAGUCGAGCGGCAGCGCGGGAGCAAUCCUGGCGGCGAGCGGCGAACGGGUGAGGAAUACAUCGGAACGUGUCCCGUAGAGGGGGAUAACCCGGCGAAAGCCGGGCUAAUACCGCAUAUGCUCUAUGGAGGAAAGCAGGGGCUCGCAAGACCUUGCGCUAUGGGAGCGGCCGAUGUCCGAUUAGCUAGUUGGUGAGGUAAAGGCUUACCAAGGCGACGAUCGGUAGCUGGUCUGAGAGGAUGAUCAGCCACACUGGGACUGAGACACGGCCCAGACUCCUACGGGAGGCAGCAGUGGGGAAUUUUGGACAAUGGGGGCAACCCUGAUCCAGCCAUGCCGCGUGAGUGAAGAAGGCCUUCGGGUUGUAAAGCUCUUUUGGUCGGAAAGAAAGGUCCUU